rnacentral:rRNA from 1 species
UACGUAGGGUGCAAGCGUUGUCCGGAAUUAUUGGGCGUAAAGAGCUCGUAGGCGGUUUGUUGCGUCGGCUGUGAAAUCCCGAGGCUCAACCUCGGGUCUGCAGUCGAUACGAGCAAACUAGAGUGUUGCAGGGGAGACUGGAAUUCCUGGUGUAGCGGUGAAAUGCGCAGAUAUCAGGAGGAACACCGGUGGGCGAAGGCGGGGUCUCUGGGCCGAUACUGACGUGGAGGAGCGGAAAGCCGUGGGGGAGCGAACAGGA